GGUUACAAAUAUGAGGUCUGUUCAAAAAGUUCCAGGCCUGUUUGAAUUAUUAUACACCAACAGGGUGUCCAUGAUGAGUAAUUAUAUUGAUGCCAUAGGCUCCUCAUGAGCACAUGUGUUUUUUUCACAUUAUAUGUCUAUGGUUUUUGUAGAUAGUCUAUCUAGUAUAAUCUUUUUUUGUUUUGAUGUCAUUAAUGUUAUUGUAAAAUAUUUUUUUUCCGUAUUGGUCAAUUUUGUAAUAAUUUCAAAAGAGCUUUUUUGAGGGGGGAAGAUUUUUUCUUACAUUUUGUUUGGUAGAGGAAUGCAAUGUUUCACAAGACUUUUGCCAACAAAUUAUAAUUGAAAACAGCAGAUGUGCAAGGUAAAAGUUUUUCUCUAGAAUGUGGAGAAAGGUCCAAAUUCAGGUUUAUCAGGAUCAUUUUCUUAUGGUAAA